AGAGUUUGAUCCUGGCUCAGAUUGAACGCUGGCGGCAGGCCUAACACAUGCAAGUCGAGCGGAGGUAGCAAUACCUUAGCGGCGGACGGGUGAGGAAUGCAUCGGAACGUGCCGUGUAGUGGGGGAUAACACAGCGAAAGUUGUGCUAAUACCGCAUACGCCCUGAGGGGGAAAGUGGGGGACCGCAAGGCCUCACGCUAUAUGAGCGGCCGAUGCCCGAUUAGCUAGUUGGUGAGGUAAUGGCUCACCAAGGCGACGAUCGGUAGCUGGUCUGAGAGGAUGAUCAGCCACACUGGAACUGAGACACGGUCCAGACUCCUACGGGAGGCAGCAGUGGGGAAUAUUGGACAAUGGGCGCAAGCCUGAUCCAGCCAUGCCGCGUGAGUGAAGAAGGCCUUCGGGUUGUAAAGCUCUUUCGGCGGGGAAGAAAUUGCACUCGUUAAUACCGGGUGUAGAUGACGGUACCCGCAUAAGAAGCACCGGCUAACUACGUGCCAGCAGCCGCGGUAAUACGUAGGGUGCGAGCGUUAAUCGGAAUUACUGGGCGUAAAGCGUGCGCAGGUGGUUGUGUAAGUCAGAUGUGAAAUCCCCGGGCUCAACCUGGGAACUGCAUUUGAGACUGCACGGCUAGAGGAUGGCAGAGGGGGGUAGAAUUCCACGUGUAGCAGUGAAAUGCGUAGAGAUGUGGAGGAAUACCGAUGGCGAAGGCAGCCCCCUGGGCUAUUUCUGACACUCAUGCACGAAAGCGUGGGGAGCAAACAGGAUUAGAUACCC
rnacentral:rRNA from 1 species